UCCACACCAAAAAUCGUCAUCCUCUCUUCAGUAAAUGGAAUUAGUAGUAGCUGAACAGAGUUCCUCUCUGCAACUCCUCCUCCAUUACUGCAUUCGAAUUUUCGACAAUGUGCCCGAAGUUUGAACAUGAAAUGCCCAGGAGGCCGCCCAGUGCAAGCUUUAGUGCUUGGGAGAAGCGAAAAUGUGAUUUCAUGUAUGGUGGUUGCAUUUGUCUGUCAUUUGAAAGGAAUUCAGACAGAGAGAGAAGGGAGAGGGUAGAUUUGUUGUCGGUGAGAUUGAAGGAUGGUCUGAUGUAUCCUUGCAGGUGAACUAUAUGCUCGCGCACCCUCAUCCAGUGGAACCUGUAACUGAUAGCUGCAGAUAUUUUGUUCUACGUGUAGAGGGGAACAUUGGUGAGCUUAUAUACUCUCUCAUUGUUGCAGUCUCUAAUGAUUUAGUGAAUCCUAUUAUCCUGUAGUUGGAACAAUUCAAAGAGCGUUUUAGCCUGUAUUUCCUUUCGUCAUUGGCUCCUACGGUAGAUUUUCCCCCUUACCCAGUUUACUGUUGUGCUUUUGACCUAUAAUCAUACAUAGGAGAUACUGGGUGAGAAUUUGUAGAAGGAUGUUUUGAGAAUCAUCUGGAGAAUACCUCUUUAAUUCUCACUUUCUCCUUAAGAGUUGUACUUCUGGGCAGUGUGAUGGGGAGAUAUUUUUAAAUUCUUUCCAAUUAUAGUAUAAGGUAGCAUACUUUUCUUCUCGUGGUUC